AUUGAACGCUGGCGGCAGGCCUAACACAUGCAAGUCGAACGAGUGGCGGACGGGUGAGUAACGUCUGGGAAACUGCCCGAUGGAGGGGGAUAACUAUUGGAAACGGUAGCUAAUACAGCAUACCAUCGGAUGUGCCCAGAUUGGAUUAGCUAGUAGGUGGGGUAACGGCUAACCGAGGCGACGAUCCCUAGCCGGUCUGAGAGGAUGACGAGCCACACUGGAACUGAGACACGGUCCAGACUCCUACGGGAGGCAGCAGUGGGGAAUGUUGCACAAUGGGCGAAAGCCUGAUGCAGCCAUGCCGCGUGUAUGAUGAAGGCCUGCGGGUUGUAAAGUACUUUUAUCGGGGAGGCGGUACUCGCAGAAGAAGCACCGGCUAACUCCGUGCCAGCAGCCGCGGUAAUAC
rnacentral:rRNA from 1 species